CCUACGGGUGGCAGCAGUGGGGAAUAUUGCACAAUGGAGGCAACCCUGAUGCAGCGACGCCGCGUGCGUGAGGAAGUCUUUCGGUAUGUAAAGCUCUAUUAGCAGGGAAGAAAACGCCGGUACGUGACUAAGAAGCCCCGGCUAACUACGUGCCAGCAGCCGCGGUAAUACGGAGGAGGCAAGCGUUAUCCGGAUUUAUUGGGUGUAAAGGGGGCGUAGGCGGUUGAACAAGUCAGAAGUGAAUUCCCGGGGCUCAACCUUGGGACUGCUUUUGAAACUGUGUAGCUAGAGAGCAGGUGCGGUAGGCGGAAUUCAUGGUGUAGCGGUGAAAUGCGUAGAGAUUAGAAGGAACACCGGUGGCGAAGGCAGCUUACUAAGCUAUUACUGACGUUGAGGCACGAAAGCGUGGGGAGCAAACAGGAUUAGAUACCCUUGUAGUC
rnacentral:rRNA from 1 species